CUAGGCUUCAGUGUGCUCGAAACGAGUCACAGGUCGUCAGAUUUCGCCCAGAUUGUUGGCAACACAGAGAAUCUUGUGAGGGAAUUGCUAGCUGUUCCCAACAACUACAAGGUGAUCUUUGUACAAGGACGUGGCUCUGGCCAGUUCAGUGCUGUCCCUUUAAAUCUGAUUGGCCUGAAAGCUGGAAGAAGGUGUGCUGACUAUGUGGUGACCAGAGCAUGGUCAGCUAAGGCUGCCAAGAAGUUUGGGGGGACGGUAAACAUUGUCCCCUAAACUUGGAAGUUACACAAAAAUCCCAGACCCAAGCACCUGGAACCUCAACCCGGAUGUCUCCUCCUAUGUAUACUUCUGUGCAAAGGAGACUGUGCAUGGGGUGGAGUUUGACUUCAUACCUGACGUCAAGGGAGCAGUGCUGGUCUGUGUGACAUGUCCUCAAACUUCUCAUCCAAGCCAGUGGGUGUUUCCAAGUUUGGUGUGAUUUUCGCUGGUGCUCAGAAGAAUGUUGGCUCUGCCGGGGUGACAGUGGUGAUUGUCUGGGAUGACCUGCUGGGACUCUCCCUCAGAGAGUGCCCUUCAGUCCAUGACUACAAAGUACAGGCUGGGAACAACUCUUUGUAUAACACACCUCCGUGUUUCAGCAUCUGCGUCAUGGGCAUGGUCCUGGAAUGGAUCAAGAACAAUGGUGGGGCAGCAGCCAUGGAGAAGCUCAGCUGCAUCAAAUCCCAAAUGAUUUAUGAAAUCAUUGAUAAUUCUUAGGGAUUUUAUGUAUGUCCAGUGGAACGCCAGAAUAGAAGCAGGAUGAACAUAACAUUUCUCAUUGGCAACACCAAAGGAGAUGAAACGAUUUCUUGAUCAGGCAGUAGAACUCAACAUGAUCUCCUUGAAGGGCACAGGUCAGUGGGAGGCAUCCGUGCCUCUCUGUAUAACGCUGUCACAACCGAAGACGGUGAGAAGCUGGCUGCCUCCAUGAAGAAUUUUUUGGAGAUGCAUCAGCUGUGA
rnacentral:lncRNA from 1 species